AUUGAACGCUAGCGGGAUGCCUUACACAUGCAAGUCGAACGGCAUGGCGAACGAGUGAGUAAUGUAUAGGAACGUGCCCAGUAGCGGGGGAUGACUACGCUAAAGCGUAACUAAUAACGCAUACUAUCGACGCAGCCGAUAUCGUGUUAGCUCGUUGGAUGGGUAACGGCUUACCAAGGCGAAGAUCCGUAGCUGGUUUGAGAGGACGACCAGCCACACUGGGACUGAGACACGGCCCAGACUCCUACGGGAGGCAGCAGGGGGGAAUUUUGGACAAUGGGGGAAACCCUGAUUCAGCCAUCCCGCGUGUGCGAUGAAGGCCUUCGGGUUGUAAAGCACUUUUGGCAGGAAAGCGGUACCUGCAGAAUAAGCACCGGCUAACUCCGUGCCAGCCGCCGCGGUAAUAC
rnacentral:rRNA from 1 species